UGAUUCCAUGUAAAAUACAGCACUAAUCCUGACCCACAUUCAGGUGCUGCUCUCUCCUGCAGCUGCUCUGCUCAAGACAGGUCAGUUCCAAAGAUAUAAAUUGAAUGCUGAGAGGGAAAAGCAGUGCUAUUUCUGCAUUGUCUUUAGCAGGAAACAUGCUUGGAGUUAAUGGACCUGAAAUGUUUAGGGUUUUAUAUGUCAAAACCAACACUGGUCAGAGACAGUGCAUACGAAGGUAAUGUGCUCCUUUACAAGAGGGAAUGAGCAAGCAAGCAGCCAGGCAGGGUGCUAGUCAAACUUUCUGGUUCAUGUGAGUAUUUAUUGUGAUUAUAAUUGUGUUUCCUGUAGGGAAAGCUGUAAGGUGGACUCAGAGGAAACUUCUGCUACCUUGCAGCAUGCUGUUCCUCUAGGCUCAGGUUACAGGUUGAGGCUUUUGUGUACUCACAGACAUGCAAGAGGUUGGAGUCUUCUGUCUUGGCUUCUCUGCAAAGACUCUGGGAACAAGAAGUGACCUGUGAAGAGGCCUUUCCCCUCCUCACUGCUCCACCAGGGAGCCUAGAAUGAAGAAGUUCUUGGUCUGGCCAGCUUUCUCUGGCAGUGGGAGAAGGCAGCUGCCUCCUCUCCUACAUGAGACCCCAGUGGCAUCCCUACAGUCCUUCAUAAAAGUGGACCUACAAAAGCAGCUGGUGACUCACGUUGCAGCCCAAAGCCCCCGUUGCAUGCCACUGGGAAAAAAGGCAGCUAAAACCCUUUGGGUGAGAGUCUCCUCCCACAAAAUGAGCCCCAAGGGGCCACACGUUUCUUGGAGGCUAUUAAAUGUCCCUUUGCACGUGGCUCCUCACUGAGCAUGGAAGGGCCCUGCUCCUGCUGGUGUAAAGCCUUCCCAGUACACCUCCACCACAGCAGCUAUAAAUAGGCUGGGGGAUAAGACAAAGGGAAGCAUUCUUAAAAUGGAGGAUACCACAGGUCCUGUUUGCAGGAGCAGGAACUCUAUAGGGAAGUUUUAAAGCUGUUGAUUUGGCUGACACUGUAGGUCUUAGCUGUCAGUGAGGAUCUUUUCCCUUUUUUGCUGUACUAAAGCAGGGAGGGUGCUGUCUGUUCUUCCACCUAAAACCCACGUGAAUUUAAGGUGAUGGGUGUCUGCUGUGAAGAGAAGUUUGUGUAUCUUCUGUUUUCUGCUAGCUGCAGAGCAGCGGGGUUGUGCUGAGCCUGACAGCCCCUUUUGUGAACCACUGCCUGGCAGUACAGAUGCUCCCUUAUUUAAAUAAAAGCAGCCAGGGGGCUUGUGUGGUGUCUGCAUGCAGACCCUGCUGUGUUUCACAACUACAGGCCUUUGGGUGCUACUGCAAUCUGGAGAAGUAAAAAUAAGGAAGGAGGGAGCGAGCCUCAGGAAGCCAAAUCAAAUGGCGGUAGCAGCAUCUCAGGAAGCUCGCCCAAGGUGGUGGGGUGCAGGGCAGGUGAAGAAGAUCAGAAGAGUAGGAAAUCAGGGAAACAGAUGUGGCGAUGCCAGGCUUUGGGGAGGGAGCUCCUGAGAUGCAAGGCCAGCAUUCCCAUGCUUUUCCAUCUGGCAGUGAAGGAAAUUAUGUAAAGUGCAGGGGCCCUUUCUUAUAUUUUUUUUUCUUCCAAUUCUUUUCUCCCUUCACUUCCCAUGAUGCAAUUAAGGAGCCAUUGCUGACAUCAUCACGUAUGCAUGCUGAAUGCAGGCAUUGUGUCCCGGCUGCAGUGCUGUACUAUAUAUAGAUUAGUUGCCAAUCUCUGCUAUGUAUCAGCAGGGAAGACACCCAAGGAAUUAAGAGAGCAGUUGCACUAUAGGACUUCUGGCUUUUGUCCCAUGGCCUCAAGACACAGUGGAACUAGAAAUAAUCAAAGGGGACACCCCAGGCAGCUGACAGCAGGGUCUGAUGAGUGCUCGAGCAGAGGAGGUGAUGGGAUGGGGAGCUGCAGCACGAGGAGGUCGGGGGUCCUUGGAGGCAGAUCUCACGCCGAGCAUUGAUCGUCAGAUCAAACACAGACCUGGCUGAAGCUGGCGGAUAUACAAAGCAGCCUUCAAGUAUGAUAAAAGCAGCAAGUGAAGAUCUCUGUGCAGAGUGAGAGCUGCUGUAGAAGCCACCAUGCUCAGCACUUCAGCGAGCAUUGUGCAGCCUGGAAAAUGCAGCCUAAAUGCUCCUUCUGGGGGACAAUACAAAACAAUUAAAGCAAAUAACUGCAAUUAAAAUUGCAGAACUUCUGCAGUUAGACCAAUAAAUACUCUAUGGUGUUACAGCCUAUUUUCAAACAAUUGAAAAACUCACUAUAUUGGAUUCGUCAGGUUGAAGAACUACAGUUAGUCCUCUGAAGUGUUUCCAUUUCUGCUGGUACUCCUUAAUCCUUUCAACUGCAUGUAUAUUGCAGAGUUGAAUGAGAGGCACAAAUUUGGACAUGAGAAUCUGGUCCAAUUCAGGCCUUUCUAGUGUGGCUAUUUCAAUAGUGAAAACAAAGGCAGUAUCAGAGCUGUUGGGGAAUACUGUGUCUUUUCUGGAAGUAUGAGGGAAUUCUUUAUAUUUCCUGGAUGCAAACAGUAUUUCUACCUGGUAAUGCUGGAUCACUUUUCACUCAUUUUCUUUUAAACCCCAGACAUGAAAAAACUCUAUUUUUUAAACUGAUUUUAUAUCUUUCCUUGAUGUAGCUAUAUGCAGGACCAUAAAAGUUUUCACCUAACUGGCUAAUUAUAUUUUGUUUGCAAGAGAGAAAGGUUUUAAACUUAAUAAUAUUAAACAUAAUAUUAAACAGCUCCCAAAGAUACUUUGAAUAUUGACCAAAGGCAUGACAUGGGGAUGAUUGGCUCCAUGGCUGUCAAAACAAAACUUCCAGAACUCCACUAGGAAUCUGGGCAUCUCAGGGUCCCUGGCAGCAGGAGCUGAGGGCUGAGGCAGCAUCUACACUGCCUCGAUUGCCCUUGGGCACCCCACCACGCUGGCCCUGGCAGGUAGC